CCUAAACACCAAAGCGUGCCAUAAACUAAUUUUCUAGCUAGAUUAGGCUUGUUUGUUAACCUCUAGGGUAGUUGCAGGAAAUAUGUGCAAAGUAUUUCAAGACGCCACUACAAGACAACCAAGGACUUUAGCUGGGGGCCAGUUUGCCGGGAUCCAGAAAAAGACAUGGAGCUCUGGAGUGAUGGAUUGCUGUGUUGACAGAGAUGUCUGUCUCUGUGGAUUUUUCUGUCCAUGCAUUCAGGCCGUUAAGAUGGCAGAGAAAUACGGAGAGUGUUUCCUACUCUCUCAUGUUCCAUGGACACAUUUUAUGUUGCGAACCAGCAUUCGGGAGCGGUAUAACAUAGAGGGAACCAUUUGCGAUGACUGGUGUAUGACUGCUUUCUGCGGACCAUGUGUUCAAUGCCAAAUGGUUCGUGAAGUCAAUAAGGAGAUUCCUAACUGACACAGCCGGAAAGUGAAUGCUGACCCCCAAAGUGUUGUCUCCCGCACCUUGUUAUGAAAAUGUUAAUUAAAUUGUUGCAGUGAGAACCCUCAAGUUUUUGUACAACAAACUUCUUAUGGUUACAUUAGGACUGCUGUCAUCUGAAGACUAUGCCUGCAAGUCAACAAACGCUUUAUGUCCCUCUGACUAUACAGCACUAUGUGAGCACAACCCUUUAUCCAAAUCCUCAGCAGUAAGAAAAAACAAGACACAGUACCAUGUGACUGUCAGAUGUAUACAAUGUGCAAUAUAAUUUACAGUAUUUUACUAUUCAUGAUAAGUCUGUUAUUACCAGAUUAUGGCUCAUUUAAAUGUAUUCAACUACCAGUUGUUUAUAUGAAAAUAAAUUUGAAAUAAGUACU